rnacentral:rRNA from 1 species
UCGAGAAUCUUUCACAAUGGGGGCAACCCUGAUGGAGCGACGCCGCGUGGAGGAUAAGGUCUUCGGAUUGUAAACUCCUGUCAUGUGUGAACAAGGUUGUCGUGUUAAUAGCAUGGCAAAUUGAUGGUAACACAAGAGGAAGAGACGGCUAACUCUGUGCCAGCAGCCGCGGUAAUACAGAGGUCUCAAGCGUUGUUCGGAAUCACUGGGCGUAAAGGGUGCGUAGGUGGCGUGGUAAGUCAGAUGUGAAAGCCCGGGGCUCAACCUCGGAAUUGCAUCCGAUACUACCAUGCUAGAGUACUGAAGAGGUGACUAGAAUUCUCGGUGUAGCAGUGAAAUGCGUAGAUAUCGAGAGGAAUACCAACGGCGAAGGCAGGUCACUGGGCAGUUACUGACACUGAGGCACGAAGGCCAGGGGAGCAAACGGG